GACGUCGAUAUUCGACGUCAUAAACACGAACAACUUUGGUGUUUAUGACGUCGAUAUUUGACGUCAUAAACACGAUCAACUUUGGUGUUUAUGACGUCGAUAUUCGACGUCAUAAACACGAUCAACUUUGGUGUUUAUGACGUCGAUAUUCGACGUCAUAAACACGAUCAACUUUGGUGUUUAUGACGUCGAUAUUCGACGUCAUAAACACGAUCAACUUUGGUGUUUAUGACGUCGAUAUUCGACGUC
rnacentral:miRNA from 1 species